rnacentral:lncRNA from 1 species
UGAAGAAAAGUUCUGGAAUUGGAUAGUAGUGAUGACUGUACUACAAGGUGAAGGUGCUUAAUAUCCCUGACUGUACACUUAAAAAUUGUUAAAAUGGAAGCCCAUGCUGACCCACUGGAUGAAACUGGAUGUCUGUGCUCUAUGCUUUCACACGAGCAUGCUUCACCACCUCAGCUAUAGUACUGACCACAUGGUGUUGCAGGGGUUCUCAACUUCUGCACAACUGGCAAUAUCAGAUGACCCUGAAGCACAGCUGAGAUGGAGAGUCAUGAUCUCACCUAAAUCCACCCUGUGGUAAGGUCGCCCGUGUCUCUCCUUGGUGAAAACAGAGCUUCACUCAAGAUCCCUGACAUGACGUCUCUUUGGUAUCUUGCCGCGAG